rnacentral:misc_RNA from 1 species
GAUGAAGAACGCAGCGAAAUGCGAUAACUAAUGUGAAUUGCAGAAUUCAGUGAAUCAUCGAAUCUUUGAACGCACAUUGCGCCCAUUAGUAUUCUAGUGGGCAUGCCUGUUCGAGCGUCAUUUCAACCCUUAAGCCUAGCUUAGUAUUGGGAAUCGACUUUACUGUCGUUCCUCAAAUUCAACGGCGGAUUUAUAGCAAUCUCUGAACGUAGUAAUUUUUUUUCUCGUUUUUGAAAUACUAUAAACCUCAGCCGCUAAACCCCCAAUUUCUUAUGGUUGACCUCGGAUCAGGUAGGAAUACCCGCUGAACUUAAGCAUAUCAAUAAGCGGAGGA